CUUUCUUUUAUUAAAAAAAAAGCUAUAUUUGUAAAAAACUUCAAAUUUCAUUACUGUAGUUUCAUACUUUUUUUAUUUUAGUAAUCUGUGAUUUAAAAUAUAUCAAUUUAAUACCCUAUUUUUUAUUUUAUUUUAUUUUAUUUUUUUUUUGAGAGAUAGGUAGCACGCUAUCCGCUUCGUUUAUUCCAUUUAGAAAUAAACUUAGCUGGAAAUGUGAAUCAACUAGGAUUCGAACUUGGGUCUCGGGUACCAACCAUCAAGCCCUUUGUCACUUGCUCUAGUGACGGCUGUGUUUUUAUUUUUCUCUUUUGUUUAUUCUCUCUAUCGUUAAAUCAGUGAUAAAGUUAAAAUUAAAAGGUACUAAAGUGAAUAUUUGAUAAAUCUAGGUGGAGUAUUUGAAGUGUUUUGUAUAUAAUUUAACGAAAUUAAUAUUGACGAAGGAGCUGACGAAAAAAAAAAAAGAAAUUAUGGGAUACUAAAUUGAUACACUUUAAAACACAUGGUACUAAAGCGAAAAAGUGCGAAACCAUAUGAAUGGUAUUUGAAGUUUA
rnacentral:lncRNA from 1 species